rnacentral:rRNA from 1 species
GACGAACGCUGGCGGCGUGCUUAACACAUGCAAGUCGAACGGAGUGGCGAACGGGUGAGUAACACGUGGGUGAUCUGCCUUGCACUUCGGGAUAAUCUUGGGAAACUGGGUCUAAUACCGGAUAGUGCAAGAUGAGCUCGCGGCCUAUCAGAUUUUUGGUGGGGUAAUGGCCUACCAAGACGUCGACGGGUAGCCGGCCUGAGAGGGUGUACGGCCACAAUGGGACUGAGAUACGGACCAGACUCCUACGGGAGGCAGCAGUGGGGAAUAUUGCACAAUGGGCGGAGGACUGAUGGAGCGACGCCGGGUGGGCGAUGAAGGCCUUCGGGUUGUUAACUCAUGUCGACAGGGACGCGGUACCUGUAUAAGAAGCACCGGCUAACUACGUGCCAGCAGCCGCGGUAAUUC